rnacentral:rRNA from 1 species
UACAGAGGGUGCAAGCGUUAAUCGGAAUUACUGGGCGUAAAGCGUGCGUAGACGGUUAUGUAAGUCAGAUGUGAAAGCCCCGGGCUCAACCUGGGAAUUGCAUUUGAGACUGCAUAGCUAGGGUGCGGAAGAGGGAAGCGGAAUUUCCGGUGUAGCGGUGAAAUGCGUAGAUAUCGGAAGGAACACCAGUGGCGAAAGCGGCCUCCUGGUCCAGCACCGACGUUCAGGCACGAAAGCGUGGGGAGCAAACAGG